rnacentral:rRNA from 1 species
CCCUUAGAUGUCCGGGGUCGCACGCGCGCUACACUGAAGGAAUCAGCGUGGCUUUCUCCCUGACCCGAAAGGGUUGGGAAACCCGUUGAAUCUCCUUCGUGAUAGGGAUUGGGGCUUGAAAUUGUUCCCCAUGAACGAGGAAUUCCCAGUAAGCGCGAGUCAUAAGCUCGCGUUGAUUACGUCCCUGCCCUUUGUACACACCGCCCGUCGCUCCUACCGAUUGGGUGUGCUGGUGAAAUGUUCGGAUCGGCCGUUUGUCGCGGUUUCCGCGGCUCGUGGCUGAGAAGUUCAUUAAACCCUCCCACCUAGAGGAAGGAGAAGUCGUAACA